rnacentral:misc_RNA from 1 species
UACGUAGGGUGCGAGCGUUGUCCGGAAUUAUUGGGCGUAAAGGGCUUGUAGGCGGUUUGUCGCGUUUGCUGUGAAAGCUCGGGGCUUAACUUCGGGUUUGCAGUGGAUACGGGCAGGCUAGAGUCCGGUAGGGGAGACUGGAAUUCCUGGUGUAGCGGUGGAAUGCGCAGAUAUCAGGAGGAACACCGGUGGCGAAGGCGGGUCUCUGGGCCGGUACUGACGCUGAGGAGCGAAAGCAUGGGGAGCGAACAGG